UCUGGGCUCGUUUGGUCUGGAGUUCUGGGCUCGUUCUCCUCCACAGCAGCAAGCGAGCAAGCCACCUCCACCUCAGUACACUCAUUCGAAUCUUUACGCCGGAGUGAUCAGUAGCAAACAUUAUGAAGAGGCAAUCAAAAUCUGCUGCUACUAGUUCCGGUGCUAAUCCGAAAUCAACUUCUUCAUCUCAGUUUCUAUCAACACUAGUGUUGGUGAAUCUACAACACCAAUAACUCCCCAUGAAGGAACUUCUACUGCAACUCCGGAAGUUCAAGGAACUCAAGCAACCGAGCUUG
rnacentral:lncRNA from 1 species